GAUGAACGCUGGCGGCGUGCCUAAUACAUGCAAGUCGAGCGAACGGACGAGAAGCUUGCUUCUCUGAUGUUAGCGGCGGACGGGUGAGUAACACGUGGAUAACCUACCUAUAAGACUGGGAUAACUUCGGGAAACCGUAGAUAAUACCGGAUAAUAUUUUGAACCGCAUGGUUCAAAAGUGAAAGACGGUCUUGCUGCCACUUAUAGAUGGAUCCGCGCUGCAUUAGCUAGUUGGUAAGGUAACGGCUUACCAAGGCAACGAUGCAUAGCCGACCUGAGAGGGUGAUCGGCCACACUGGAACUGAGACACGGUCCAGACUCCUACGGGAGGAAGCAGUAGGGAAUCUUCCGCAAUGGGCGAAAGCCUGACGGAGCAACGCCGCGUGAGUGAUGAAGGUCUUCGGAUCGUAAAACUCUGUUAUUAGGGAAGAACAUAUGUGUAAGUAACUGUGCACAUCUUGACGGUACCUAAUCAGAAAGCCACGGCUAACUACGUG
rnacentral:rRNA from 1 species